CACAAGUGUAGAGAGAUCUAUGUCAAUGCGCAUGACAAAAGAAGAUGCUAUGGUUACAAGUGUCAUUGUCUCCUUGACCAAAAUAAAUUAGGCAAUCAUCCUUGCCUUAUAUGUCAAUAAAAGCUUAUCCGCAUCGGAUAUUUAGAUUGAAUCGAUAUAUGCGUGGCGUGUGUUUGAUUAUAGAGUUAUUUUACUCAACAAUAAUAAGUAACAUUUUUCAGUAAAAGUGAGCCUUCCUCAAUUUAUUCAUGGAGCAGCUUCUAUCCAUCCUAUGCAAUAUCUUUCUUUUCAGAGUAUGUAUCUCAAACUAUGUAUUUAAUUUGAUCUAUCUCAAAUGCUACUUGACGGAUGUAUUUGAGUUUAGGUUGCGUUAUCAGGCAUCA